rnacentral:misc_RNA from 1 species
CCGAGUGCGGGCCUCGCGGCCAACUCCCCACCCUUGUCUCUAUACACCUGUUGCUUUGGCGGGCCCACUGGGCCACCUGGUCGCCGGGGGACGCAUGUCCCCGGGCCCGCGCCCGCCGAAGCGCUCUGUGAACACCUGAUGAGAUGGGCUGUCUGAGUACUAUGAAAAUUGUCA